GAUUUUUAUUCUAUGGUGUCACAGACUACUUUUAUGUCUGUAGAACUCCAGAUUGAACUGACAAACUGCAAAUUUGAACAUGGAAAGCUGCCUGAAUCUUUCUUGGGAUGAUUUUCGAUUUCAGGGAAAAGCAGCCUGUAUCUUUCUUGUGAUGAUUUUUAAUAUCAGAUGGAAAGCAGCCUAAAUCUUUCUUGGAAUGAUUUUCAAUUUUAGUGCAAAGCGGCCUGAAUCACUCUUGGGAUGGUUUUCAAUUUCAG